AGCAGAGUAGGUGUAUGCGCGUUAAGUGCCGGACGUACAGGGAGUUGACGGUCGGACGAAAAGGUUUUCUUGCGGUGCGUACGCCGCAUCCCGCUGCA
rfam:Lachnoclostridium sp. An14 An14_contig_58, whole genome shotgun sequence.